UACGUAGGGUGCAAGCGUUUGUCCGGAAUUAUUGGGCGUAAAGAGCUCGUAGGCGGUUUGUCGCGUCGAAUGUGAAAUCCCGGGGCUCAACCCCGGGCCUGCAUUCGAUACGGGCAGACUAGAGUUCGGUAGGGGAGUCUGGAAUUCCUGGUGUAGCGGUGAAAUGCGCAGAUAUCAGGAGGAACACCGGUGGCGAAGGCGGGACUCUGGGCCGAUACUGACGCUGAGGAGCGAAAGCGUGGGGAGCAAACAGG
rnacentral:rRNA from 1 species